rnacentral:rRNA from 1 species
UACGAGGGGAGCAAGCGUUGUUCGGAUUUACUGGGCGUAAAGGGCGCGUAGGCGGCCACGACAAGUCACUUGUGAAAUCUCCGGGCUUAACUCGGAACGGUCAAGUGAUACUGUCGGGCUAGAGUACAGAAGGGGCAACUGGAAUUCUCGGUGUAGCGGUGAAAUGCGUAGAUAUCGAGAGGAACACCUGCGGCGAAGGCGGGUUGCUGGGCUGACACUGACGCUGAUGCGCGAAAGCUAGGGGAGCGAACGGG